AGAGUUUUAAGUUAAAUUUAAACUUUGAGCCUUCAAAGCUCAGUAUAGACUUGGUCUAAAUUCUA
rnacentral:tRNA from 1 species